AAGACGAGGUUGAAGAGGCACUUGAAACUGCAGGAGAGGAGAUCAUCGAUGAGAAAGACGAGAAAAUACUGCAUUUGGAAACAGAAAUGUUAGUCCUAAUUGAUAUUGAUGAAGUAUGUUUUUCUUAUAUAAGUAUGUGUAUUGCUUAUUAUUUUUAGACAAAGGCUGAAUAGUGUUGUUAGAACUUUGAAAAAGUGCAAAAACGAGCAGUUAGCUGAAAUUAAACGCCUUAGGAUUUCCAUUAAAACCGCGGAAUUCCACAGAUAUAAUUUGGGUCAAAAACUUAGCUGCAUUUUCACCAACAGCCAGGUAAUAUUUUUCAACGUGUGUCACUUGAUCUAAAUUCCACUGACCCAAUUGAAAAAAAUGAUGACUUGGAGAUUCUCAACAACGACGGACUUGAGAAUUUGGCAGUUCUGCCACAAACUCGAUAAAGACAACCCCAAAAUUUGUGCCAAUUCAGAAAAUUGUUUGUCCUAUACUUGGAUGGAUCACCUUUCUGAAGGAGGACUCUCAAAACCAACAGAUAUGUUGAUGGAGCAUAUGAGAGCCUUGCAAGCAGUAUUUGACGACGUGAAUGGUACUGAUUUGCAUAUAUGUAUGUAUGUACGUUUGUACAAAUUACGUCCAGUAGCACUUAGAUUUAAGUAAUUUUGUAAAUUGUAGCUCGAAAGUAAAAUAAUUGUUUUACAGACCUAGAAUGUAUUUUAGGAUUCGUUCCUUAAAUAAAAACUUAAUUGAACAUAAGUAUGUAUAGCAAAAAAAGAAAUUUAAAUAAGACAAUAAAUUGGUACUUGGUUACAAAA